AGAAUCAACGCUGGCGGCGUGCCUAACACAUGCAAGUCGAACGAGAAAGUGGAGCAAUCCAUGAGUAAAGUGGCGACCGGGUGAGUAACACGUGACUAACCUACCCUCGAGUGGGGAAUAACUCCGGGAAACCGGAGCUAAUACCGCAUAACAUCUUCGGAACUCAGGUUCUGUUGAUCAAAGGAGCAAUUCGCUUGAGGAGGGAGUCGCGGCUGAUUAGCUAGUUGGCGGGUAACGGCCCACCAAGGCUUAGAU
rnacentral:rRNA from 1 species